GAUGAACGCUGGCGGCGUGCCUAAUACAUGCAAGUCGAGCGAACAGACUAGGAGCUUGCUCCUCUGACGUUAGCGGCGGACGGGUGAGUAACACGUGGAUAACCUACCUAUAAGACUGGGAUAACUUCGGGAAACCGGAGCUAAUACCGGAUAAUAUAUUGAACCGCAUGGUUCAAUAGUGAAAGACGGUUUUGCUGUCACUUAUAGAUGGAUCCGCGCCGCAUUAGCUAGUUGGUAAGGUAACGGCUUACCAAGGCAACGAUGCGUAGCCGACCUGAGAGGGUGAUCGGCCACACUGGAACUGAGACACGGUCCAGACUCCUACGGGAGGCAGCAGUAGGGAAUCUUCCGCAAAGGGCGAAAGCCUGACGGAGCAACGCCGCGUGAGUGAUGAAGGUCUUCGGAUCGUAAAACUCUGUUAUUAGGGAAGAACAAAUGUGUAAGUAACUAUGCACGUCUUGACGGUACCUAAUCAGAAAGCCACGGCUAACUACGUG
rnacentral:rRNA from 1 species